CACCCAUGAACAUCGUAUUAUAAUAUAUACAGGGUGAUCAAUCUAGCGCGAGACACAUAACUACUAUAAUAUUGUAUUAUGUUGUAUUAUCUCGGAAAAUGUAAUACACAAGAAACAACGAGCGGUUCGAAAAAAAAAAAUAUUUUGAUGUCUCUAGAUAGUUUCAAACGUCAUCAUAAUAUUAAUACUUCUGUUUUAGAUUCUUUGUGAAGCGAGAAAUGUGUUGGUCUUACU